GUUGACAAGGACCUGGAGCCCGAGACAGCUGAGGAGUGCACCAAGUACGGAAAGGUCAUCAAAUGUGUCAUAUUUGAGAUUCCACAUGGUGAUGAUGAAGAGGCAGUUAGAAUUUUUGUGGAAUUUGAACGAGUAGAUUCAGCCAUUAAAGGUACAGUACAAUGGUUUCCGUUCCAUUAUUAUACAUGUAUUAAAUAUCAAGACACGCAAAAAUUUACCAUACGAUGCAUUGUCUUGUAUGUUAGACUAGACUCAACUGACUGUAAAAUCACUUUUAAGAAAAUCGUUUUGAUCCACGCCACAAGUUCUUAAUUCUUUGGUUAUUCUUCAUUUUAACCCUCGUAUAUCAUGUGCCUUGAAAAUUUUCUUUGUAUAUUACAGCUAUCAUUGACCUGAAUGGCAGAUACUUUGGAGGAAGGAUCGUGAAAGCGUGUUUUUAUAAUUUGGACAAAUUCAGAAGACUAGAUUUAGGGGGUGAAAUGGAUUCAUCAUGACGGCCAUGGAAGAGAAAGUUUUUUCAGUUGGUGUUUGUGCAUAAAUGUACAUCAAUUGUGUGUUCAUUUAUCAAUGAAAUGGCUCAAAGGUCAUCAGAAAUAUUAGGCCUACUAAAACACCAAGAAAUUUUACACUGUUUGGUACACGUACAGUGUAUAUAUGUACAUGUAUAAAAAUGUAUAAUAUAGAUGUACAAUAUCUAUAGUAUGCAGUAUACAUGAACGAAGAUGGAACGGAAGUGUAUGCAAUUCUUACAAAAGAAAGUGAAUUCAUUGUGUAUAAUGCAUGUGUAUGAUGAUCCAUUAGACGUACAAUGUAUGUGCAAAGCAUUUUGUUGUAUUACAUGAAUAUGUAGCAUUUUAACACAGCAGAAAUAAAAUUAUACCUG
rnacentral:misc_RNA from 1 species